UGUGAACCCGCCCUUGGCUCCUCCUCACUGUUGCGGGGUUGUUGUGUAACAUGUUCCACUGCCAGCAGGUAGGGUGUGUCCUUGGGUGUCAUGUACCUGCAGUGAUGCGUCGUUCACCAACGAGCCGAUGCUUCGUAGCAAACGAGAAGAGACGACUGCAAAUCUUCCGCCGACAUUGUCCGAUUCUUCUGAAAAUUCAUACAAACGGGGGACUGCUUUUAUGGGCGCACCAUUUUUUCCAACAACCGACCGACAACCGAAUAAGAAGCAGCAUCUGAGUGCAUUUCAAUGAUACUGGAGACGGCAAACCUGAGUGCAGACUUAAAUAUUAUUAAAUAAAAUAUUAUUAAAAUAAAAAUAUCUGUCAACCUCCACUAAACAUUAUUAUUUAAAGUGUUUUAAUGUUAACACCCAAAGGUUUGAUUAAAAUGUUAAACAGAAGUGACUGUGUAUUUUUUUAAUUGCAUUUUAAAAACUGCAUUAAAAUAAGGCUUUUAAAAAAGUUUAAAACUUUGAAAACACAUAAUAAACAAAUGCUUAGAAACAGACAAACUAUUUAUAAUUGUAAGAAGUUUUAGUCUCUGUCUGAACUGUUAAGAGCCAGAGUGGGAUUGAGCGUUGUUAAUGAUUACAACACAUAGUGUCCUUGAAGGAAAACUUUUACCUUUAAUACAGCAACAUUUUGAUUGUUGAGGUCAGUUUGACAAACUAUGUACAGUAUACAAAAAAAAACAAAUAUUCACAUCACUCUUGAUUAAGCUAAACAGACAGAAAGAAAAGGGAUGACGAUUGAUUAAAAUCUCAAAAUCCAAAUACAGUCAAUAAAACAUGUUCCUUCUCUCCCUAUGUCUAUGGCCUGUCUCAACCCCUUCGUCUGUGGAAGUUCGAGGCUGCUGGAGAGUUGAUGAGUCAAAGAUGUGUCGACGCAUGGAGCUGCAGACCUGAAGGACCUGAGGAAGUACAUCCUGCUCUGAGCCUCUUGUUCACAGCUGACGACUUCUUCUGGUUAGAGUGUGAUGCUGCUAAUAUCAAGACAAGAGAUAAUGAGGCUGAGUUGAGAUGUAGGAUUAGAAAGAUGCAAAUCAUCCUGAGGUCUGACCCAUAAAACACAAACACAAGGUCACUGGUAUGUUUACACUUAACUGUUGUUGCUCAGUCCCUAACCAAC